UACGAAGGGGGCUAGCGUUGUUCGGAAUUACUGGGCGUAAAGGGCGCGUAGGCGGUCUGUCAAGUCAGACGUGAAAUCCCCCGGCUUAACCUGGGAACUGCAUUGGUGACUGGCAGGCUUUGAGUGUGGCAGAGGGAGGUAGAAUUCCACGUGUAGCAGUGAAAUGCGUAGAGAUGUGGAGGAAUACCGAUGGCGAAGGCAGCCUCCUGGGCCAACACUGACGCUCAUGCACGAAAGCGUGGGGAGCAAACAGG
rnacentral:rRNA from 1 species